rnacentral:rRNA from 1 species
AAUAUUGCACAAUGGAGGGAACUCUGAUGCAGCGACGCCGCGUGAGUGAUGAAGGCUUUCGAGUCGUAAAACUCUGUCCUUGGGGACGAUAAUGACGGUACCCAAGGAGGAAGCCCCGGCUAACUACGUGCCAGCAGCCGCGGUAAUACGUAGGGGGCGAGCGUUGUCCGGAAUUAUUGGGCGUAAAGCGCGCGCAGGCGGUCUUUUAAGCCUGAUGUGAAAUCUUACAGCUUAACUGUAAGCGGUCAUUGGAAACUGGGAGACUUGAGUGCAGAAGAGGAGAGUGGAAUUCCAUGUGUAGCGGUGAAAUGCGUAGAGAUGUGGAGGAACACCAGUGGCGAAGGCGGCUUUCUGGUCUGUAACUGACGCUGAGGCGCGAAAGCGUGGGGAGCAAACA